rnacentral:lncRNA from 1 species
UGGAAAGCAGGUGAGAUUUGCCACAGACAGCAGUGGAGAAGAAACUGUGACUAUGGAGGAGGAGCUUAGACUGAUGCAGCAUAGAGCAAGGAAGCAGAAGCUGGAAUUAGCAAGGAAGGGCUUCCUCAGAGGCUUCAGAGAACACAGCAUCGCCAGUGCCUUGAUCCCUGCCCAGUGACAGUGGUUUCGGACUUCUGACUUCCAGAAUUAAUUAAUUGAGUACAGUCCCGACUCUUAACAGGAAAUACUAGAGAUCCUGAUCGCAGUAAAGGCAACUUUGGAAAAGCAUCUCUGUCUCCUUGAAGCAGCAUUAUAAAAGCAGCCUCCGUUCCUGGGUGUUGGAAAUGGUGAAAGCAGCAAGAAUCGAAGAGAGAGCCAUG